CCUACGGGAGGCAGCAGUGGGGAAUAUUGGGCAAUGGGCGCAAGCCUGACCCAGCAACGCCGCGUGAAGGAAGAAGGCCCUCGGGUUGUAAACUUCUUUUGUCAGGGACGAAGAACGUGACGGUACCUGACGAAUACGCCACGGCUAACUACGUGCCAGCAGCCGCGGUAAUACGUAGGUGGCAAGCGUUAUCCGGAUUUACUGGGUGUAAAGGGCGUGUAGGCGGGGAAGCAAGUCAGAUGUGAAAACCACGGGCUCAACCUGUGGCCUGCAUUUGAAACUGUUUUUCUUGAGUGCUGGGGAGGCAAUCGGAAUUCCGUGUGUAGCGGGGAAAUGCGUAGAUAUACGGAGGAACACCAGUGGCGAAGGCGGAUUGCUGGACAGUAACUGACGCUGAGGCGCGAAAGCGUGGGGAGCAAACAGGAUUAGAUACCCCAGUAGUC
rnacentral:rRNA from 1 species